AUCUUUCCAAGCGCACUAUCCAACCACCGGCACCCACGCUCUGUCCCUGCCCCUUCCCCGUCCCCGUAUCCGGCCGACGCGCCGCCUCCUUCCCCUGGAUCCGCCCGGAACCGAUGCCGCCACUGCCUGCCGCCACCAAGCGUCGACGUGCGAUCCCGCCGCCUAUCUUUGGUAUGCUGUCACGCCUCCCCUGCCAUCUAGGCUGCCCCCGGCCUCGCCCAGCUCCUCUUCCGGCGACGACCCCCUGCCAAACGCGCCGCCCCCGUCCCGACAACAAAACCGCGAAAUCCAGCCAACCACCGCUUCCUGAACCGCCCCGCGCUCCGUCCGGGCAACCGCCGCCUCCCCACCACGUCCCGCUCGCCUCCCGACCAACCACUGCCUCCCCAUCCCUUCGGUUUACCUGCAGCUGGGGGAGGUCUCGACCUGGAGCUGGAGGAGGUCUCGACCUACACCUGGUCGCGCGCGCCGCUGCCGCGAGGUCCACCACCUAUAGUCGGCGCUACGACAACCACCCACCCGCCGCGCCGGCCAGCCCACACCAGUACCACCUGCAUCCCGCCGACCCUCCGACCCCCAGCGAGCCGCUGCCCCUCCCUCUCUCGGAUCCGCCAGCCCCGGCGACGCGCGCCGCCGCCCACCAACCAGGAUCCCGCCGCUUCAACUUGUUCUGAACAGGAGCUGCAGUGCUGGGCGGGUCUGCUCCCGCGAGACUGCACUCAAUCACGGUAGCUCCAGCUGAACUUCAGGUAGCAACUAAAAUCAGAGGAGACAAUAGUAUUUUGGUUCUGGGCAACACAUGCCUUUUCUUUUUUAGUACAACGAAUGCCUUAAUUUUGUUUCCAACGAAUGCUAGUUUUUUGGCAAGCUAGCUAGCGUGCUGCUAGUUAGCAAAUUACACGUCCGUGCUCCUUCAUGGUACUGCUAUCUGCUGCUA